rnacentral:rRNA from 1 species
AGUAACGCGUGAGUAACCUGCCUUUCAGAGGGGGAUAACGUUCUGAAAAGAACGCUAAUACCGCAUGAGACUACAGAGCUGCAUGGCUCAGUGAUCAAAGGAGCAAUCCGCUGAAAGAUGGACUCGCGUCCGAUUAGAUAGUAGGCGGGGUAACGGCCCACCUAGUCGACGAUCGGUAGCCGGACUGAGAGGUUGAACGGCCACAUUGGGACUGAGACACGGCCCAGACUCCUACGGGAGGCAGCAUG